GUCACUAGCAUUCACUUUCAAAUGCCCCCUCUCCGCAAAGAGAGCUUUCGUACUAUUCUUACUUUCCGAUCUUACACUCUAAUAAACUUUUGCCUGCUGCUCAUUUAAUUCUGUGUCCACCUCUUCAUUCUUUGAAGCAGAGAGACAACGAACCCUGGGUAUUGAGGUAAAAAAUCCUGCAACAGUUGAUGCUCAAACAUUUGGUGAAGAGAUGAACUGAGUCCUUCCAGCAGUAUGGGCACAGUGAAUACCAAAUAGGCAUGAAUCGGGGCAACGGAUUGAUGGAGUAGCUUCAGUCAGCGUAAAACCUGUUGCUGGUGGCUGGUCGUCCUUAGGUUCUCGGGUCAGUCCUGGGACCUGGCACAUGGCUGAGUCAGCAUCUGGCUCAUCCAUCUGGGGAAGGCCCGGGGUCUCCAUCCUCGCAGUCCAGCAAGAGUCUAUAGUAUUUUGACGUAUAUCUGAGCAAGGCAAAGAAUUCGUGACCAGAUUUACAAAAGGAAGAAAGGCCUCUCUGAAAUACUGUUCGCUAUUCUGGACACUUUAACUUCUUUGGGCUUCCUUCAGGAUUUUGUGAGUUCUUCAGCAUAUAAAGCAGGUUAGGCUGAAGUCCGAGAGAAUAAGUGGCACACGUUUUGUUGAGUCCUGCAAAGCUGGCUGGGGCUAAGAAAUUAUAAUUAUUAGCAACAUGACAAUAAUUUAGGUUCUAGAAGAAAGUAAGCCCUCUUAGUGCCAGAAGAAUAAAGUCAAAGCAAACUUUCUCUCUGCAUGUGUAGCACUGCCUUCUAAAAUUGGGGGAAAGUGCUGAGAAGGCAUCAGGGUGCAGUGGAUGAGACGCAGACCAAGAGAUGUCAUUUGAAUUAAAAAUGAAUGUUUGUGCCUUUGAAGUCUGGAAGCCAGGCCUGCCUGAACCUUGCAGAGAGAUGCUCUUCUCUGUCCAGCUGACUUGUCCUGUGUCACCAUUUGGGGAAGCUGGCAUUCUCUGAUGCCUGAAGUAUAGCCAGUCUUGGUCUGGUUCCAUCAUAAUGAAGAUUCUCUGCAGGCAAGUUCUGGAAAACUUCAAUUUCCUUCUGCUGGUCAGCAGUUUAUGAUUCUGUGCUUUGAUGUGUGUAUGAGACAAUCCGUGUGUCAGUUGCAUGGAAUUUGUGAAAAGGAAAAAAACUUGCAGAAAAUGUUUAUACCCCCAUGUGACAUUGACCUGUGUCCAGAAAAUCACAAAUCUUCCAGGAAGAAGAGAGUGUGUUCUACUUCAAAGGAAGUCAUCACAUCUGCCUCUGGGUGCCUCCACCUCAGCCUGGGAAACCAGCACAGUCUCUAAAGGUGCACUUGUCCUGGCCUAAGGCCAGAGACCUGGGUGUCAGGGUUCUUGAACACCAGAAAGGAUGACUCAAUGACUCAUCCUUUCUCCUCUUUUCUCCACUCCCAGCCUCUUACCCAAACCUAUGCACGGAUAGCAGAUUAUGUCCAUCAACACUUCAGCUGGUGAGGUGCCUUAGAAUUCCAAAGGGUUCCAAAUGGAUUUUACAUUUCACUUACAAAGCAUUAUUAAUUAGCAUAUAUAUAAAUCUAGCAAGGUCAUAUAACAUUACAAUUUUUUGUUUUCCCUCAUAGAUUCUGAGAACUUCUUACUUACCUUGCCCUUCAUUGUCCAGGAGAGAGCCUGGUGGCCUUCAAUGGCCAUUUGUUUAAUGAAUUAAUCAGUAAGGAAUGCUUUCUUUAAUAAAUGGAAAUGUCUUUGA